UUAGGGGCAUACGACUAUCUUUUCUUAGGGGCAUACGACUAUCUUUUCUUAGGGGCUUUUCUAACUGACCCCCCUCUUUUCAUGGACAGUGUUCAAAUGUUGGCAUGGUUUAUCAACAACGUCAUCUUCAUCUGGAAGGGAAUCAUCAACGAGUUGCAGACCUUCAUGAAUUUGUUAAACCAAAAUGAUUUAAACAUCAAACUUACAUACCAGGGGAAUUAUUUGAGGCUCGAGCUGUUGAGCUAUGGGACCGUUUCCGUGAACAUGGAUACCAGGCACGAUGGAUCAGGAGGGCUUACCUCCGGUUGAAGCACGCAAAACAAGAAUGCCUGUUGCAACCAAAGAUCAAGAAUUUGAAAGACAAUCAGGAAUUAUAUAUCAUGCCACAUGCCCAUGUGGUCUGUCUACGUGGGCAUGACGACGAAGAAACUUAAAAGAAGAAAGAGGGACCAUGUCCUGGGUUUCCUGGCAGCGAGAGACAAGAGUGAUCUGACCAAACUUACUACUGUACCACGUCACUUCAAGACAUAUCAUGACUGCGACCCAACAGGCCUGAUGGCCCCUAUCAUCUAUGAGGACCUUCAUCGGAUAUUUGGUUAAUUUCAUCUUUGGACACCCCGCACUUUUAAGAUUUUAGUAUGAUGCAUCAUAAAUAUUUAAUGUAGAAAUGUUGUAUUUAUAGUUAUAUUGGUAUAUUAUAUAAAGGAUUUAUUGGAUGUUUGGUCAUAUACUUUGUUUGUGAACCAAUCUCACAUAUGUAUUUUUAACACUAUACAUACAGGUUGAACAACUCCAAUUAAAGGGGUACUCCGGUGCUUAGACAUC